rnacentral:misc_RNA from 1 species
GAUGAAGACGCAGUGAAAUGCGAUACUUGGUGUGAAUUGCAGAAUCCCGUGAACCAUCGAGUCUUUGAACGCAAGUUGCGCCCGAAGCCAUUAGGCCGAGGGCACGCCUGCCUGGGCGUCACACGUCGUUGCCCCCCCAUCUACUCCUUCGGGAUUGCGGGGGGCGGAUGAUGGCCUCCCGUGCGCCUUGUCGCGCGGUUGGCAUAAAUGCCAAGUCCUCGGCGACGCACGCCACGACAAUCGGUGGUUGCGAAACCUCGGUUGCCCGUCGUGUGCGGUCGUCGCGCAUCGAGGGCUCGAAAAAAUUGUCGGGCUCCGGCUCGGCUUUCAACGCGACCCCAGGUCAGGCGGGGUUACCCGCUGAAUUUAAGCAUAUCAAUAAGCGGAGGA